UACGUAGGAUGCAAGCGUUGUCCGGAAUUAUUGGGCGUAAAGAGUUCGUAGGUGGUUAUCUAAGUCUGGUGUUAAAGCCCGGAGCUCAACUCCGGCAUGGCAUUGGAAACUGGAUGGCUAGAGUGUGGAAGAGGUAACUGGAAUUCCUGGUGUAGCGGUGAAAUGCGCAGAUAUCAGGAGGAACACCAAUAGCGAAGGCAGCUCGCUGGGACGGUACUGACGCUAAGGCGCGAAAGCGUGGGGAGCGAACAGG
rnacentral:rRNA from 1 species